rnacentral:rRNA from 1 species
AUACGGAGGGUGCAAGCGUUAUCCGGAUUUAUUGGGUUUAAAGGGUCCGUAGGCGGGCCGAUAAGUCAGUGGUGAAAUCUCGCAGCUUAACUGUGAAACUGCCAUUGAUACUGUCGGUCUUGAGUAAAUUUGAAGUGGCUGGAAUAAGUAGUGUAGCGGUGAAAUGCAUAGAUAUUACUUAGAACACCAAUUGCGAAGGCAGGUCACUAAGAUUUAACUGACGCUGAUGGACGAAAGCGUGGGUAGCGAACAGGAUUAGAUACCCUGGUAGUCCACGCCGUAAACGAUGCUAACUCGUUUUUGGGCACUUGUGCUCAGAGACCAAGCGAAAGUGAUAAGUUAGCCACCUGGGGAGUACGAUCGCAAGAUUGAA